rnacentral:rRNA from 1 species
GACGAACGCUGGCGGCGUGCUUAACACAUGCAAGUCGAACGGAAAGGCCCUGCUUUUGUGGGGUGCUCGAGUGGCGAACGGGUGCGUAACACGUGAGUAACCUGCCCUUGACUUUGGGAUAACUUCAGGAAACUGGGGCUAAUACCGGAUAGGAGCUCCUGCUGCAUGGUGGGGGUUGGAAAGUUUCGGCGGUCGGGGAUGGACUCGCGGCUUAUCAGCUUGUUGGUGGGGUAGUGGCUUACCAAGGCUUUGGCGGGUAGCCGGCCUGAGAGGGUGACCGGCCACAUUGGGACUGAGAUACGGACCAGACUCCUACGGGAGGCAGCAGUGGGGAAUAUUGCACAAUGGGCGGAAGCCUGAUGCAGCAACGCCGCGUGCGGGAUGACGGCCUUCGGGUUGUAAACCGCUUUCGCCUGUGACGAAGCGUGAGUGACGGUAAUGGGUAAAGAAGCACCGGCUAACUACGUG